AUUGAACGCUGGCGGCAUGCCUUACACAUGCAAGUCGAACGGUAACAGGUCUUCGGAUGCUGACGAGUGGCGAACGGGUGAGUAAUACAUCGGAACGUGCCCGAUCGUGGGGGAUAACGAAGCGAAAGCUUUGCUAAUACCGCAUAAGAUCUACGGAUGGAAGCAGGGGACCGCAAGGCCUUGCGCGAACGGAGCGGCCGACGGCAGGUUAGGUAGUUGGUGGGAUAAAAGCUUACCAAGCCGACGAUCUGUAGCUGGUCUGAGAGGACGACCAGCCACAGUGGGACUGAGACACGGCCCAGACUCCUACGGGAGGCAGCAGUGGGGAAUUUUGGACAAUGGGCGAAAGCCUGAUCCAGCCAUGCCGCGUGCAGGAUGAAGGCCUUCGGGUUGUAAACUGCUUUUGUACGGAACGAAAAGACUCUUUCUAAUAAAGAGGGUCCAUGACGGUACCGUAAGAAUAAGCACCGGCUAACUACGUGCCAGCCGCCGCAGUAA
rnacentral:rRNA from 1 species